UACGGAGGAUGCGAGCGUUAUCCGGAUUUAUUGGGUUUAAAGGGUGCGUAGGCGGCUUUUUAAGUCAGCGGUGAAAUUUUGCAGCUUAACUGUAACAGUGCGGUUGAUACUGGGGAGCUAGGAUUUGGUUGCUGUGGGUGGAAUGUGUGGUGUAGCGGUGAAAUGCUUAGAGAUCACACAGAAUAUCGAUUGCGAAGGCAGCUCACAAAGCCAAGAUUGACGCUGAGGCACGAAAGUGUGGGGAUCAAACAGGAUUA
rnacentral:rRNA from 1 species